rnacentral:rRNA from 1 species
AACGAACGCUGGCGGCAUGCCUAACACAUGCAAGUCGAACGAGACCUUCGGGUCUAGUGGCGCACGGGUGCGUAACGCGUGGGAACCUGCCCUUAGGUUCGGAAUAACUCCCCGAAAGGGGUGCUAAUACCGGAUAAUGUCUUCGGACCAAAGAUUUAUCGCCUUUGGAUGGGCCCGCGUUGGAUUAGCUAGUUGGUAGGGUAAAAGCCUACCAAGGCGACGAUCCAUAGCUGGUCUGAGAGGAUGAUCAGCCACACUGGGAAUGAGACACGGACCAGAAUCCUACGGGAGGGAGCAGUGGGGAAUAUUGGACAAUGGGCGAAAGGCUGAUACAGCAAUGCCGCGUGAGUGAUGAAGGGCUUAGGGUUGUAAAGCUGUUUUACACGGGAUGAUAAUGACAGUAACGGGAGAAUAAGCACCGGCUAACUCCGUG